rnacentral:rRNA from 1 species
AGAGUUUGAUCAUGGCUCAGGACGAACGCNGGCGGCGUGCCUAAUACAUGCAAGUCGUACGCUUCUUUUUCCACCGGAGCUUGCUCCACCGGAAAAAGAAGAGUGGCGAACGGGUGAGUAACACGUGGGUAACCUGCCCAUCAGAAGGGGAUAACACUUGGAAACAGGUGCUAAUACCGUAUAACAAUCGAAACCGCAUGGUUUUGAUUUGAAAGGCGCUUUCGGGUGUCGCUGAUGGAUGGACCCGCGGUGCAUUAGCUAGUUGGUGAGGUAACGGCUCACCAAGGCCACGAUGCAUAGCCGACCUGAGAGGGUGAUCGGCCACAUUGGGACUGAGACACGGCCCAAACUCCUACGGGAGGCAGCAGUAGGGAAUCUUCGGCAAUGGACGAAAGUCUGACCGAGCAACGCCGCGUGAGUGAAGAAGGUUUUCGGAUCGUAAAACUCUGUUGUUAGAGAAGAACAAGGAUGAGAGUAACUGUUCAUCCCUUGACGGUAUCUAACCAGAAAGCCACGGCUAACUACGUGCCAGCGGCCGCGGUAAUACGUAGGUGGCAAGCGUUGUCCGGAUUUAUUGGGCGUAAAGCGAGCGCAGGCGGUUUCUUAAGUCUGAUGUGAAAGCCCCCGGCUCAACCGGGGAGGGUCAUUGGAAACUGGGAGACUUGAGUGCAGAAGAGGAGAGUGGAAUUCCAUGUGUAGCGGUGAAAUGCGUAGAUAUAU